rnacentral:rRNA from 1 species
UGACAACCCGAGAGAUCGGGCGUUCCCCUUCGGGGGGACAGGGUGACAGGUGGUGCAUGGUUGUCGUCAGCUCGUGUCGUGAGAUGUUGGGUUAAGUCCCGCAACGAGCGCAACCCUCGACCUUAGUUGCCAGCAUUCAGUUGGGCACUCUAAGGUGACUGCCGGCUAAAAGUCGGAGGAAGUGGGGAUGACGUCAAAUCAUCAUGCCCCUUAUGACCAGGGCUACACACGUACUACAAUGGCCGGUACAAAGGGCAGCGACACAGCGAUGUGAAGCGAAUCCCGAAAAGCCGGUCUCAGUCCGGAUUGGAGUCUGCAACUCGACUCCAUGAAGUUGGAAUCGCUAGUAAUCGCGGAUCAGCACGCCGCGGUGAAUACGUUCCCGGGCCUU